rnacentral:rRNA from 1 species
CACCGGCAGCUCUAGUGGUAACAAUUUUUAUUGGGCCCUAAAGCGUCCGUAGCCGGUUUAAUAAGUCUCUGGUGAAAUCCUGUAGCUUAACUGUGGGAAUUGCUGGAGAUACUAUUAGACUUGAGACCGGGAGAGGUUAGAGGUACUCCCAGGGUAGAGGUGAAAUUCUGUAAUCCUGGGAGGACCGCCUGUUGCGAAGGCGUCUAACUGGAACGGUUCUGACGGUGAGGGACGAAAGUUAGGGGCGCGAAACCGGAUUAGAUACCCUGGUAGUCCCUGAGCGGGCUGGCAAGG